rnacentral:rRNA from 1 species
GUCGAACGGCAGCACAGAGGAGCUUGCUCCUUGGGUGGCGAGUGGCGGACGGGUGAGGAAUACAUCGGAAUCUACUCUGUCGUGGGGGAUAACGUAGGGAAACUUACGCUAAUACCGCAUACGACCUACGGGUGAAAGCAGGGGAUCUUCGGACCUUGCGCGAUUGAAUGAGCCGAUGUCGGAUUAGCUAGUUGGCGGGGUAAAGGCCCACCAAGGCGACGAUCCGUAGCUGGUCUGAGAGGAUGAUCAGCCACACUGGAACUGAGACACGGUCCAGACUCCUACGGGAGGCAGCAGUGGGGAAUAUUGGACAAUGGGCGCAAGCCUGAUCCAGCCAUACCGCGUGGGUGAAGAAGGCCUUCGGGUUGUAAAGCCCUUUUGUUGGGAAAGAAAUCCAGCUGGCUAAUACCCGGUUGGGAUGACGGUACCCAAAGAAUAAGCACCGGCUAACUUCGUGCCAGCAGCCGCGGUAAUACGAAGGGUGCAAGCGUUACUCGGAAUUACUGGGCGUAAAGCGUGCGUAGGUGGUCGUUUAAGUCCGUUGUGAAAGCCCUGGGCUCAACCUGGGAACUGCAGUGGAUACUGGACGACUAGAGUGUGGUAGAGGGUAGCGGAAUUCCUGGUGUAGCAGUGAAAUGCGUAGAGAUCAGGAGGAACAUCCAUGGCGAAGGCAGCUACCUGGACCAACACUGACACUGAGGCACGAAAGCGUGGGGAGCAAACAGGAUUAGAUACCCUG